rnacentral:rRNA from 1 species
UACAGAGGGGGCAAGCGUUGUUCGGAAUUACUGGGCGUAAAGGGCGCGUAGGCGGCCUGCUAAGUCGAACGUGAAAUCCCUCGGCUUAACCGGGGAACGGCGUCCGAUACUGGAUGGCUUGAAUCCGAGAGAGGGAUGCGGAAUUCCAGGUGUAGCGGUGAAAUGCGUAGAUAUCUGGAGGAACACCGGUGGCGAAGGCGGCAUCCUGGAUUGGUAUUGACGCUGAGGAGCGAAAGCUAGGGGAGCAAACGGG